rnacentral:rRNA from 2 species
CGAUCGGAGCUUGAUGGGCUGUAGCUGGCCUUCUGAGGCAUGUGCACGCCCUGCUCAUCCACUCUACACCUGUGCACUUACUGUGGGUUUCGGAUUGUGAAAUGGGUCCUUACCAGGCUUGUGAAGCAUCUGUGCCUGCGUUUAUUACAAAUUCUAUAAAGUAACAGAAUGUGUAUUGCGAUGUAACGCAUCUAUAUACAACUUUCAGCAACGGAUCUCUUGGCUCUCGCAUCGAUGAAGAACGCAGCGAAAUGCGAUAAGUAAUGUGAAUUGCAGAAUUCAGUGAAUCAUCGAAUCUUUGAACGCACCUUGCGCUCCUUGGUAUUCCGAGGAGCAUGCCUGUUUGAGUGUCGUGAAAUCAUCAACCUACAAGGCUUGUCUUUUGUAGGCUUGGAAUUGGAGGUUUGUUGGCCUUGGACGGGUUGGCUCCUCUUAAAUGCAUUAGCUUGAUUCCUUGUGGAUCGGCUUUCGGUGUAAUAAUUGUCUACGCCGCAACCGUGAAACGUAUGGCAAGCUUCUAAUUGUCUCUUGUGAGACAAAGGUGUUUGACCUCUGACCUCAAAUCAGGUAGGACUACCCGCUGAACUUAAGCAUAUCAAUAAGCGGAGGAA